AAUAUGAACUCUAAUGUGUGUGACCUCAUAGGUCUGAAUCUAAGUCGGCAGCAUAGAAAUAAAUUUUUGUACCAAUCGAAGUGACCAUCUAGCAAUGGUACUCGAUGGUCGGAUAGGUCGAAUGUGUAGAACAACAUCCUUCGAACCCAUGCAGAUAUAGUUUCUAUAUAAUUCAUCUCCUUGACCAAAAUACUCAUAGGAUACCUCA
rnacentral:lncRNA from 1 species